rnacentral:rRNA from 1 species
AGAGUUUGAUCAUGGCUCAGGAUGAACGUUGGCGGUGUGCCUAAUACAUGCAAGUCGAACGGAGUUAAUAGCAAUAUUGACUUAGUGGCGAACGGGUGAGUAACGCGUUGGUGAUCUGCCUCGAAGUGUGGAAUAACGUUCCGAAAGGAUCGCUAAUACCGCAUGUGCUCUCGAUUUUUAGAAAGUUGAGAGUAAAGGAUUUAUUCGCUUCGAGAGGAGCCUGCGUCCCAUCAGCUGGUUGGUAGGGUAACGGCCUACCAAGGCUAUGACGGGUAGGGGACCUGAGAGGGUGGCCCCCCACAAUGGAACUGAAACACGGUCCAUACACCUACGGGUGGCAGCAGUAGGGAAUAUUAGAAAUGGACGAAAGUCUGAUCUAGCAACACCGCGUGUGCGAAGAAGGCCUUCGGGUCGUAAAGCACUUUUUGGAAGGAAUAGGAAGGAAUGUACUUCCAGAAUAAGUCUCGGCUAACUACGUGCCAGCAGCCGCGGUAACACGUAGGAGGCAAACGUUAUCCGGAUUUACUGGGCGUAAAGCGCGUGUAGGUGGUACUGUAAGUAGGGCGUGAAAGCUCCCGGCUCAACUGGGAGAGGCCGUUCUAAACUGCAGAACUAGAGGAUGGUAGAGGGAGGUGGAAUUCCAGGUGUAGCGGUGGAAUGCGCAGAUAUCUGGAGGAACACCAGUGGCGAAGGCGGCCUCCUGGACCAUUCCUGACACUCAGACGCGAAAGCUAGGGUAGCAAACGGGAUUAGAGACCCCGGUAGUCCUAGCCCUAAACGAUGUAGACUAGGCGUCGGUGGUUUAAUCACCAUCGGUGUCCAAGCUAACGCGAUAAGUCUACCGCCUGGGGACUACGGCCGCAAGGUUAAAACUCAAGGAAUUGACGG